rnacentral:lncRNA from 1 species
UUAAGGUUAAAGAGACUUCAUAAAUAAAUCUGCCAAUCAAUAAUUAUUUACUUUUUUUUUUUACUCAACUUCAACUUGAUAUUAACCAACAAGGGAUACAAGAUUUAACACCACAAGAGUGCUUAAGCCGCACUUACAAUAAAGAGAUUUAGUAACACCCAGGAUCACUACUUGGAUCCUACACUACCCAAUCUAUAUCUUUGUUGUGAUUUUCAUCUCAAUGAACACAAACUUCUCCUACGACCCAGAAGAAACCGGUUCUUAACCACCUAAAUUGACCCCGUGGGACGAAAGCAUUUUACAGCCAGCAAAUGACCAAAUCGAAACAAGAACAAACAAACCCACAAGCGUUAAUCUCCUAAAGAUAAGAAUGAUAGACCGGAUCAACGCUUCAACACCAAAAGGUGCAUAACUUGUCUCGAUCCAUCACUGAUGGACCAAAUGCUUCGCUCCUAAGCCAGAAAAACGGGAAGAGUUCCGGACUGAAAAACGGACCUCGAUGACAGCAACGUAACAGGUACAUCAAUCCAGAUUCCAAAGGUGUGAUACUCACACCACCGGAAGGGCAUAUACGCCACCGCCGACGCCGAGAUGUAGAGCACCACCGCGUGUCUGUUGCGAGUUCCACUCCUCCGGUUGACUACUCCGAAGUGAUGACGCCUCGCCACGCGUCGUCUCUGAGAACCAGAGGACAAGAACAUUUUCCACCGGCCGUCUCGUCUCACCUCCGUUCAUCUCACCGUCGCUCAGGAAGGUAGAUCUGAAGCCAAAGGAGGUUUCCCACCGGGUCACGCGCCGUCAUCGUGAGGGGAUCUCCAGAGAUCUGAAAACGGAAAACCAGAUCCGUCGCUCCCUUCAGUCCUAAAAGCCGACCUUCCCUUCAACCGCCUCCCCGUAGUCUCGCCGCUCCUCCAGGAUCCACGUCCACAGUCACCUUCGCCUGUUACGGUCUCAGGUGGAGAACAUGCACCCCAGAAACAGCUUGCAUAUCAACUAGGUUUAGAUCGGGUAAAGAGGAAGGCAAAAAGAAAAGAGGAAAGGUUGAAGGAGGAAGCUCCGACACCGACAAAGCCGAGCCGAAGAAAGAGAUCAGUUGCUUUGUUCGAGAGAGAAAGUGUAGUGGGAGAAAGUUAGAGAGAGAUUUUUUUACUUGUAUAUAAAAUAUCAAUAAUUAUUUACUUAACCAUGAAUUUUACCUUUUGUUUAAAUAUAA